GAUCAUGGCUCAGGAUGAACGCUAGCUACAGGCUUAACACAUGCAAGUCGAGGGGAAACGACAUCGAAAGCUUGCUUUUGAUGGGCGUCGACCGGCGCACGGGUGAGUAACGCGUAUCCAACCUGCCUACCACUUGGGGAUAACCUUGCGAAAGUAAGACUAAUACCCAAUGAUAUCCCACGAAGGCAUCCGAAUUGGGAUUAAAGAUUUAUCGGUGAUGGAUGGGGAUGCGUCUGAUUAG
rnacentral:rRNA from 1 species